rnacentral:tRNA from 1 species
AGGAAAACUAAUUUAGCAUAAAUUUAAUAUUGUAAAAGUUUUAGAAACUUUAGGUUUAUAAUUG